rnacentral:rRNA from 1 species
CCUACGGGAGGCAGCAGUAGGGAAUCUUCGGCAAUGGACGGAAGUCUGACCGAGCAACGCCGCGUGAGUGAAGAAGGUUUUCGGAUCGUAAAGCUCUGUUGUAAGAGAAGAACGAGUGUGAGAGUGGAAAGUUCACACUGUGACGGUAUCUUACCAGAAAGGGACGGCUAACUACGUGCCAGCAGCCGCGGUAAUACGUAGGUCCCGAGCGUUGUCCGGAUUUAUUGGGCGUAAAGCGAGCGCAGGCGGUUAGAUAAGUCUGAAGUUAAAGGCUGUGGCUUAACCAUAGUAGGCUUUGGAAACUGUUUAACUUGAGUGCAAGAGGGGAGAGUGGAAUUCCAUGUGUAGCGGUGAAAUGCGUAGAUAUAUGGAGGAACACCGGUGGCGAAAGCGGCUCUCUGGCUUGUAACUGACGCUGAGGCUCGAAAGCGUGGGGAGCAAACAGGAUUAGAUACCCCAGUAGUC